UUAAAUUCAAUUUGAUAUUUCUGGGAAAACAUUAUCUGAGGGUUAUAUACUUAAUAAAUAUGAUAAAGCUUGUAAGCAAAUGUCAAACCGGAGUUAUUUAUCAAAACAUGAUAUUGGUAUUGGUUUUGAAUUCCUAAGAAAAGUGUUUUAACUUAAACGCAAUUUUCUCAGUCAAAUUUGAUGUCGCUCUUAUACGCUUUAAAGAUUUUUAGG
rnacentral:lncRNA from 1 species